AACCCUACGUUUAGUUGCUAACGCGUGAAGGCGAAGGCACUCUAGACGAACUGCCGUUGACAAAACGGAGGAAGGUGGGAUGACGUCAAAUCAUCAUGCCCCUUAUGUUCUGGGCUACACACGUGCUACAAUGGCCGGUACAGACGGACGCAAAGCCGCGAGGUGGAGCAAAUCCUAGAAAGCCGGUCUCAGUUCGGAUUGCAGGCUGCAAUUCGCCUGCAUGAAGUCGGAAUCGCUAGUAAUCGCAGGUCAGCAUACUGCGGUGAAUACGUUCCCGGGCCUU
rnacentral:rRNA from 1 species